GAUGAACGCUGGCGGCGUGCCUAAUACAUGCAAGUCGAGCGAACGGACGAGAAGCUUGCUUCUCUGAUGUUAGCGGCGGACGGAUGAGUAACACGUGGAUAACCUACCUAUAAGACUGGGAUAACUUCGGGAAACCGGAGCUAAUACCGGAUAAUAUUUUGAACCGCAUGGUUCAAAAGUGAAAGACGGUCUUGCUGUCACUUAUAGAUGGAUCCGCGCUGCAUUAGCUAGUUGGUAAGGUAACGGCUUACCAAGGUAACGAUGCAUAGCCGACCUGAGAGGGUGAUCGGCCACACUGGAACUGAGACACGGUCCAGACUCCUACGGGAGGCAGCAGUAGGGAAUCUUCCGCAAUGGGCGAAAGCCUGACGGAGCAACGCCGCGUGAGUGAUGAAGGUCUUCGGAUCGUAAAACUCUGUUAUUAGGGAAGAACAUAUGUGUAAGUAACUGUGCACAUCUUGACGGUACCUAAUCAGAAAGCCACGGCUAACUACGUG
rnacentral:rRNA from 1 species